AUAGAAGAAAAACACUUGAGGGUGUGAUGAGGACUCCUGAACACCACGUCUUCCUUUUUCCAGGGUGGACUUCUUUCUCCUCUUGUAUUUGCAUUUCAAUUUGUGAUUUUAAAACCCCUUUCAGCUGCUCCAGCUCAGAGGUAGAAGGUAACAUUUCCAGUAAUCACAGGCGGGUUGUGUUGCCGUUCCCGAGGCGAGCACAUUCCUGCGGCUCAGCCCUGGGGAUGUGUCAGCCCUGGGGUUGUGCUGCCCGGCUGCCAGGCAGGAACACGCCCCGAAAACCCGGCAGCCAGGAGCGAGAUAAGGAUCGGAGGGAAAAUGGCACUGCCAAGACGCACGGACUGCAGAGGAGGAGGAGGAAGGCAUCACAGGAGGAAGCAAGGACAAGAACGUGCCUGCAGGCAUGAAGCAUUGGUGGAUCCAACCCCCCAGACCUUCUCACAUGGAGCUUAGGGACAAAGCAGGCCCAGAACACCCACUGGCUACAAAAGAGGACAAUAACCCACAGCCUCCACAGUGUCGAUGUGACAGCUGCAUUUCUGUACAUACUGAUAUCUUUUUGUCCUCCUUUGGUAAACACACCAUAAAGCUCUUCCUGUGCUCACCAAGAGCUAAUGUUCAGGUGGCAGAAAAAUAAAUGCUGA